UUUGAUUAUUAGCAAUUUGUAUUUAUGUUGCAUAUAUACAACUUUAUAUUAUGCUCCCAUCCUUAAAAUCUCAUAUUGUUCAUCAUGAAGAGCACUUACAUUUUAUCCCUAAAUUCUCAACUCAACAAAUUAAUGUGCAUAUGAUAACUGGUUUUUGAAUACAAAUUUUAAUAAAUAAGGCAUAUAGGUCUCUCAUAUACAUAGUUGAAGAUUAGUAAAAGCCUGGUUUGUUCAAAGAUACAUAUUUUAGCAACUAACCUUUGUAUUGUACAUCGUUUGUAUCCAAUAUUGUCGAUCGGUAUUUAGCUGCAUGCAUCAUAACUUCCUAUGACAAAGAAGAAAUGAGUAGUUCAACAAUGAAAAAGAAGAAAAAACUACAGCAAUGUCGUCAAAGAGUAUAGCUGAAAAAAACAGAUUAAAUAUGUCAUUUGAAAAACUUUAAAACACGACGUUCAGAAAAAUGUGUCCAAAUAGGUGUUUUCUCUUUAUAGCUGAAAUAACAAACUUGGUUCCCUCUUGCUCUCAUCUUCUUUUCCUGCAUACUCUACCUAUUAUGUACUUAUGUUAUUCCCUCCCUAGCAGUUCCUAACAUGAUGAAAAAGUUUGUAUUUUGUCAUUUACUUAACCUAAAUACACUAAUCUAACCAAGACAUUGGGCUCAAGUGGUUAAUGAACUCUCCCUAGGACAUAUUGUUCGGGAGAACCCGAGUUCUAUUCCUGGUGGGAAUAAUUCUUGGCUAGACUUUAUUUAUCUCGCAGCUAAACUCUGGAUUACCGGGGCCCCUUCCCCUGAAAACCAGAGGGUUAACUAAGAAAAAAAUACACUAUCCAACCUUUGGUUUACCAAUUGUUUCUAAUAAAGUAGUUAUAUGUUUGGUAAGUUUCAGUGUGAAAAUAUUUGCUUAACAAAAAUUCAAAUAACAGAUGUUUCAAUGUACAUUUUGAAAGUAGAGGAUGUGUUUGCAGCAUUGGUUUCAUGCUUAUAAGUAGAGUUCAAAGUACAGUACUCUGUAGUUUGAUGGAUCAUAAAAUUAGUAAGAUAAAUUAGUAAGAUAAAUUCAUAUCUAUUAUCACCAAUUUAGUUCUCAAACUAUUAAAAUCAACUAAAAGUCCCUAAAAUACCCUCCCAUCCAACUAGUCAGUAUCUUCCAUUAGUAACUCCUAAAAAACAACCAUUUAAUCCCUAAAAUGAUAAUCCUUAAUAUUUUUGUUCCUCGGGAGAAAAAUGGUACUAACCAAUUUUCAAGUAUAAGCAUAAUUGACUAACGGAAGAAAAAAAAUCCAAGAAAAUCAAUAUAAUGCUUAAGUAGUAGUUGGAUUAAACUAAAUUUUGGUAAAACUGUUUCCAUUCAAAAGUGAGUAUAUAAAUAUUGUGUAAAAUGGAUUUGAAAGAAUGAAAUACCUCAAUGACUGAAAUGCUAUCUCAUGAGUUCGACGAUUUGAUUUGAUAGUGUCUGCAAUGAAUUCCUCUGUUUUGAAUGAAACAAACCUAACUGCGAGAGUGAGAGUAUUAAUGUGUUUUC
rnacentral:lncRNA from 1 species